UUAUGGCCAUAUCACAUUGAAACAUUGAUUCUCGUAUGAUCACUAAAGUUAAGCAAUGUCAAGCCUGAUCAGUACCCCAGUGGGUGACGGCUUGGGAAUACUGAGUGCUGUAA